GAAAUAAACUAAAAUGAACUUCUAAUUCAUUAAAUAUGAAAAUUAUACUUCAUAUUAUUUCU
rnacentral:tRNA from 1 species